GCCUCUUUAGCUCAGUUGGCCAGAGCACUUGAUUUGUAAUCUCGGGGUCGUUGGUUCGAAUCCGACAAGAGGCU
rnacentral:tRNA from 1 species